GGGGGCGAUUUGGGUUCGACGGGGAUAGUUGAGGGCAUAGUGGCAGGUCGAGCAUCCCAAUGACUCGUUAAUCCAUAGGGACUAAAACCAAAAGCAGACUCUUUCGAGUACGCUCUGGCUGCAUAGCCAGUGUCUUCGUUGGAACGCGGCCCGCGGUCCGGCGAGGGCAUAAUUAAAUGGGCUGGUCAAUCCGAGGUUUCAAACCGACUCGGUUGACGAGAUAACUUGGUUCGAUAGCCUCAACGAAGCCCGUUUAUCGGCGUCCAAGAGGCGAAAAUUCAAACGGUAAACUAAACCUGUAGAAGCUUUGUUUGAAGAUCUUCGGACGCGGGUUCAAUUCCCGCCGCCUCCACCA
rnacentral:tmRNA from 1 species